UACAGAGGGUGCGAGCGUUGUCCGGAAUCACUGGGCGUAAAGGGCGCGUAGGCGGUCUGCUAAGCGUGUGGUGAAAGCUCGGGGCUCAACCCCGAGUCGGCCGUGCGAACUGGUGGACUCGAGCACGUCAGAGGCAGGCGGAAUUCCGGGUGUAGCGGUGGAAUGCGUAGAGAUCCGGAAGAACACCGGUGGCGAAGGCGGCUUCCUGGCCUGCUCUUGACGCUGAGGCGCGAAAGCUAGGGUAGCAAACGGG
rnacentral:rRNA from 1 species